AAUACCGACCCGCCUGCUCGUUCAGGAUGGUCCGGCCCCCGCAUUUGUUCUGGUUAGCAUCUGCUCCGCAAGGAGCAGUACCGCCAGUUGUCUUCUCUCUGGUAUCGGAGGCUGCUUAUGGGCGCCCGGGGGGGAUGAAAAAGGCUCUGUAAUAGGGCCUUAACCCUCGUCACCAAGUCCGACCAGUCUGUAAGUUUGCGUGGAUGACAGUAAUGUCACCUUAAGGGACUGUGAUAUUUAAACCCGUGUCUACCUUCUUUGUUGCUUUGGCGGGCCGCCGCAAGGCGUUGGCUCCGGUCAACCGUGCCCGCCAGAGGACCCAAACUCUUCUGUUAAUAACGUCUGAGUACCAUAUAAUAUUUAAAACUUUCAACAACGGAUCUCUUGGUUCU
rnacentral:misc_RNA from 1 species